rnacentral:rRNA from 1 species
AACGAACGCUGGCGGCAUGCCUAACACAUGCAAGUCGAACGAAGCCUUCGGGCUUAGUGGCGCACGGGUGCGUAACACGUGGGAAUCUGCCCUUUGGUUCGGAAUAACAGUUAGAAAUGACUGCUAAUACCGGAUAAUGACGUAAGUCCAAAGAUUUAUCGCCGAAGGAUGAGCCCGCGUAGGAUUAGGUAGUUGGUGGGGUAAUGGCCCACCAAGCCGACGAUCCUUAGCUGGUCUGAGAGGAUGAUCAGCCACACUGGGACUGAGACACGGCCCAGACUCCUACGGGAGGCAGCAGUGGGGAAUAUUGGACAAUGGGCGAAAGCCUGAUCCAGCAAUGCCGCGUGAGUGAUGAAGGCCUUAGGGUUGUAAAGCUCUUUCGGGAGGGAAGAAGGCGCAAGCCUGACGGUACCUCGCAAGAAAGCACCGGCUAACUCUGUGCCAGCAGCCGCG